GGAAAUAGACAGUACACGGAUCUGGAAUGGAAGCAAAUAAUAACCGGGUCUCCAGAUUCCAUCGUAUCACAGAACAUAGAACCAAGAAAGUACCUUAGAAGUCAUCUGAUCCAGUCACCCCUGUUUUACCAAUGAGGAAUCUAGACCCAGAAGAAGUUAAAGGACUUACCCAAGAGUACCCAACAACUCUCUCACCACCCCAGGCUCCCAUCUUUGUGUCUCUCCUGUGUGAGCUGUUCCCUGAAGUUCUUCCUGAACUUGCACAUUGCCUUUCCCUUUGAUUUUAAAUCCUUGGCUCAAAUGACAUGCCCGGACUAUAUCGUGUGAUAUGAGCUUGAAAAGUAAUUUACGUACAAGUCUUGAAAGCAAAUCAAGUUUUAAAACAAAGUAGCAUCUACUCUGCCCCAGCCUUGACAUCUUAUUACAUAGCAAAUGCUGGCUUUUUAAUUUCCCUAAUCAAGACUGGUCCUAUUUAGCCCACCUCCUCAAGGGGUCCCAGCACUAGCCCCACUCCGACGCCUGAUGAAGUUCCAGAACAGUGGAAUCAAGCACAGAGAUGGGCACGCCUCUUUACAGAACCAAAGAUUCAGAACUGUGCCUUACCCUUUGCUUAUGAGGCGGAGGAGGAGGAAGAGAAAGAACCACCGCAAAGAGAGAUGGCAACAAAGGACAAAAUGCUUGGAGGAGCAACAGACACCCUGAGACCAUGAAGACAGGACGAAGUCACACACUAAGAUCUGAGGCCCAGGGUCACCACAAACCCGGGAGACAUGAGGCCAGGCCUGAGAGGCACAGGCAGGCUGAGGAAUGGACAGAAGAGCAACAGAGAAGCCUGGAGGAUGAAAGCCAACUCUGCAAAGAGCUUCCAAGAGUCUUCCUGCCACAGAAAUUCCACUUGGCCACAGAAAUGGCCCUGGCCCUGGGCCAGGAGAGAGGUGGCGACGAGCUGCUCAUGGCAAUGACUUUCAGUCAGCAUGUCUUACCUGUGCUUCCAAGGGUGGAGAUGCCACUUUGAACUCGCCCUCCCCCACUUGCCAUUUCCCAAGCUCAUCCCGGGGAGACCAGACUCAAUGGCCCACUGGUGAUCUUGUUUUACAUGAGACAUUUCCAAAAAAGACCAAAAAAUCCUUUCCAGGAAAAUGCCAUUUUUAAAAUUCAGCUCCAGACACUGCGGCAACAUUAGGAAAACAAAGGACUUGGCAGAAAGGUUUUCUGCGUGGGGACUUUCUCUCGAAAAUACCUUCUCCAAAUUGCCUCCAGUGGGGAUGACUCCAAGGGUCAGUUCUGGAGCACCCAGGCAAUUGCAGACAGAGUGACUUCGGGUUUGUACACUGUCCCAGGUCUUUCCUUACCUGAUAUCACCCUGGGAUCUUCCAGGCUUAAACAAGGAGCCCCUUCCAAGGGUCCCCAAAGGAAGCAGCUGUCUCUGAGGGUCAAGAAAUAAUGCUGCUUCCUUCCUCCAGAGGGGACUCCUCAACCCCUCUCUUGCCACCAUCACUAAGCCAGGGGCCCAGGUUAGGAGGUGGAGGGACAUAGUGUGCUUAGUAGAGAGCUUGUCUUCUCUUAUCAUCCAAGUGAGAGGAAUACACAGCUUCCCCUGGGGCAUACAUAGUGGUGUUCCCCUUUUUUGCAUGUAUCAGGUAUAAUUAAUCAGGUUGACAUCACAUAUGUAAUAAUAAUGGCCAUUAUUUAUUAAACACUUCCAAUGUGUCCAC
rnacentral:lncRNA from 1 species